AUGAGAGUUACAUACAUUAUACUUGACUUUCUUUCUUUCUUUCAUUCUUUUUUAAUGCCAUUCCAGGAAAAAUGUCUUCUCUUGGGCGCAGAUCUAAAGGCUGGUAAGAACUACAGCAGGGAACGGACCCAGGCAGUCAAGAAGACACAGGCUGCGAUCUCAAGCCGACACGCUAAUCUGUAUUCACCUGAUGGAAUGCCAGUCAGGCCUCUCUUUCCAUCCCUUGUGGGCUCGGGACACAAUGCGACGCCCUACGGGAAGACAGAAAACAGACGUUGGCAAGUCUUCACUGGCAUAAAAUCUAGACUUGCCCAGAAAAUCUUUUUACCACGAAGUUCAAAAUUAUUUCCUUUCACUGACAUGGUUUUUAUCUCUUAUUUCACUGGAACACUGUAAGGGGAAUUGGCUGGAGGAGCGGGAGCCUGGGUGCCCGUCAGCAGCGGCAUCACUGUAAGAAGGGAACAAAGUCCUCGGGUGCCACGCACCCCCCCCCCUUCCCCCUAGUCACCUCUCUGCCUCUCGUCUGCGGACACGCUCCUACCAGCAAGUGACGUGAGCAGCUAGGGCCGUUUGGAAAAGAAUCAGGUGACCAACUUACAGACAAAAGCCAGGUGCUGAGCUAGCUGGGGCAGAAGGUUGGGGAAAGCCCAGUCUCCGGGGGACACAUGAAGCAGCCUGUCCCUGGACAGGCUACCUGCGUCCAGGCUUCUUCAGAAUCAGCCACAGCCACCUUCAGGUUGGCAUCCACCAUCACUUAUGUUCUCUGCUACCUGCGGCCGGUGGGAUCCAAGGGAGCAAGUGGCUUUGAAUCAUUUCAGAGGGACUGACUGCUAAUCCUCACCAUUCCUCUCCCCCAGCCUUGAGCCUCCCUCUAAAUAAAUCUUGGACAGGGGCACCUGGGUGGCUCA
rnacentral:lncRNA from 1 species